GGCCUUAUAGCUCAGUGGUAGAGCAUGCGAUUGCAGUUGGCUCAUCGUGGUCCGAACACGAUUGUUGCUUACGUCAGCAACCAUCGCAGGGUCCCGAGCUCGAAUCUCGGUGGGGCCU